AGGAGCUCUGUUUUACUUCCUUAAAUCCCACCGAACCCGGUUGACCUAAGUGGAGCUAGGUGUGAAUGAAACUGGCCUCAUUUUGGGUUUUUUUUUUGAGCUGCUGGAGAUGAAACCCAGGGCUUCGUGCAUGCUAGGUAAGCGCUCUGCCAGAGCUACAUCCCUAGCCCCAGUCUCCUGAUUUUGUGCAAUUAGUGAAUUAAGAAUUGUUUUUCCAUUUUAAAUGUUUUUUGGGAAAGAAUAAUGUUUCUUGCCUUGUGAAAAUGAUAAAAAACUAAACUUUCAGUGUCCAUAAAGUUGUAUUGGAACACAGCCACGUCUAUGACUGCUACAAGGCAGAGGGCAGAGUUAAAUGGUCACAACAGAGAGCUUAUAGGCCAAGGAGCUUUAAAUAUUUACCAUCUGGCCCUUUAUAGAAGAGGGCAGAACCUUGCUUAGCGCCUCCAAACCAAUCGGGCCAUGCUUUCUGCGUAGAGACUUUUGAAUUCAUUUUGUUUUUUUUACUUUUCUUUUUUUGAGACGGGGUCUCGAUAUGUAGUUUAGGCUGGUUUCAAACUCAGGGCAGUCCGCCUGGCUCCACCUCCCGAUUGCUGAGAUUACAGGUGGUGGAAGCCAGACCCUGGCCUGAGAGAUGGAGAAGCCAUUCCUUAAGGUGCCCAGAGCAUGCCAGGGACUGUGGGUCAGAGGAAGUCUCGGGAGAAGACAGCAGCUGGCCUGGGCAGGGUGGUGGACAGGGACCCGCAUUCCAGCUCUGGGUCUGCAAACAGCACUGUUUCCUGGGGAAACAGUAACCCUGGCCAGGUUCCUCUGUUUGCUCCUCUGUAAGGUGAGCGUGAAGGCAAUACACUCCGAUGAAUGUAUGUGUAAAAUGGUUUGAGGAAGAAAAGGGGAAGAAGGCAAGGCAGAGCAUUCCAAGAUUUGGGGGACAAGAAGAGUCACGGUGGAGAAGGCAGGCUCUAAGCAUGAGGUUCUUCAAUCAAGUGGAAACCCACUUCCCCGGUCCUGGUACCUUCCAGCCCUAUUCCUGCCUGUGAAGGCAACAGAGACCAAGCCCGAUUCUUGCUGGCCACACUCCAGCUCCCCGCCACCUCUAAGGGUCUGUGUGGUGUGGGGUUGGAAGCCAGGGCCUUGCGCAUGCUAGACAAGCACUCUAUCACCGAGUGACACCCCCAGCCCUUUCAAGGUCUCACUAAAUUGCCCAAGUGAAACUGGAACUUUUUUUUUGGUACCAGGGAUUGAACUUGGGACCUUGCGCUUUUGAGGCUGGUGGCGGCACCACUGAGCUAAAUCCCCAGCCCAGCAACUGGAACUUUUGAUCCUUCCACCUGGCCUUCUGAGUAGCUGGGAUCCCAGGAGUAUGCAACCACACUGGGCUUUAGGUCUUCUAUAUAUAACUGCUCUGUGAUUGUGGAUGAAUCUUCUGAGGUGUCUGCCCUACCUCCAUCCUCUACUUCGUGAGAACCCCCAGUCUCUGGAGGUUGCUGCUGUCAUUUGUACUUAGUGUACUCCCCCUUGGCAGUGGCUCAUUGGGCAAGGGUACCAGUUUUAACGGAAGCUGGGCCAAUCAGGUUUGCUCCUGGGAAUUGUUUUUAUUUAAAAAUUUUCUUGGGCCAGGGAUUUAGCUCAGUGGCACACACCUGCCUCGAAAGCGCAAGGUCCUGAGUUUGAUCCCUGGUACCAAAAGAAAAUUAUUACAGUAAAAGACACAUUGCUAUUUUUUUUAAGGAAGUUUUUUUUUUGGUACUGGGGAUCGAACUCAGGUCCUUGCACUUGUGUGAGGCAGGCGGCGGAACCACUGAGCUAAAUCCCUGGCUCCACAUUGCUAUUAAUUCCCAUCAAGAUACUCUCGGCUUUGAACACACUUAUCCCAUCAUCUGUGCCACUUCCUGAAGCAGUUCUGGAAGUCCUCUUUCAUGAGUGUCUUUAGUUGUGCUAUCAGGAGAGCCUGGGAAUUUUGAACUGGCAUCCUGAAGUUCCUGACCUGAGGACAUGGAAAGUUGGGACUUAGUGGGACACUGUCUUUAGCCGUGUGCAGAGGAAAGCAGAGGUCAGCAGCCAUGGAACGAGACAGGAAGAGAAAGGGAACAGGAGGAGGAAGACAAGAGUUAAAGGAAGAAAGAGGGAGGGGGAGGGGAGGAGAGAAUGAGAAUCUCAUGGCAGAAAAGGGAGGAGCCCAGAAACCUACACUUGCUUUUUAACAAUCCACUCUUGGUAGCAGGGGAUUUAGCUCAGUGGUUUUACCCCCUGCUGCGCAAGCGCAAAGACCCAAGUUCAAUCCCCGGUACCAAAAAAAAUCCACUCUUGGUAACUAAUCCAGCCCUGCCCAUUCCUGAGGUGGGAAUGAAUCCUUCCACUGUGCCCUUAACUGCCUCUACUAGGCCCCGCCUCUUAAAGAUGGCUCAUCUCUCAACAGGAGUGCUGUAGACUCAGCUUCCAGUAUAGGAAUCUCUGGGGGACAAAUCACAUCCAGGCCACAGUAAUGCCUCAGUCACUGUGGUGCUAUUCUUAGUGGAACUUGCAUCGAAGUGGGCGCUUCUGGGAUAAUCUUCCUCUGCCUUCUGCAGAGUGAGCCUGGGUCAAGACUUCAACAGAGAAGCUGCCCCGACCACUGGUCACCCUGGUGCCUCCUCAGAUAGGUACAUGGCUUUGUUCCCUCAGUUCUCCAAGUUUUUGGUACCGGGGAUCGAACUCAGGACCUUGCGCUUGCAAGGCAGGUGGUGGAACCGCUGAGCUAAAUCCUCAGCCUCCUCCCAAGUUUCUUAACAAAAAUCUGCCAAAGAACCUGGUUUGUCCCUGAAUUUUUCUUUGUUUUAAAAUAUUUUUGAGAUAGAGUCUUGCUAAGUAUUUCAGACUGGCCUUGAACUGUGUAACCCAGACUGGCCUCAAACUCAUGGUGAUCUUCCUGCUUCAGCCUCCUGAGUGCUGGGAUUGAAGGCUUGAGCCACUCCGCCUGGCUUGUCCCUGAAUUUUCUAACCCAGCCCGAAGUACCAUGCGAUUUUAUAACUUGCUGAGCUAGAAGGGCCAUGGGCACUUUCAUGAAUGCUGGGGUGCAGGGACGGGGUGUGAUUCCAUGGUAGACCAUUUGCCUAGCGUGUGUGAGCCCUGGGCUCCAUCCCCAGCACUGGAGGGAAAUAGGUAGAGUCCUCUUUUCUCUCUUGACGACACAUUCUAAGAGUGAGAGUAUGUUUGGUGAACCUAGUGCUUCCAAAGCCAUAAAGCAGAGCUGACGGAAUAAAGAAUUAGCCCCUCCAGCUAACAUGAAGGUAAGCAGCUCUCCUACAGGUCAAAUGCUGUAUUAAAAUGUAGUAAAGAAUGUACUUCUUUUUUUUUUUUUUGGAGACAAAUGUCUCGCUAUGUAGCCCCGGCUGACCUCAAACUCAUGGCAAUCCUCCUGCCUCAGCCUCCCGAGUGCUGGGAUUACAGAAGAAUGUAUUAUUGAGACAAUGGACAAUGAGAAAUAUUUGAAUGUCUCUGAUACAUCCAUAUAACCACAAAUCCAUGUAUUUUACCUUUCUGUUCAGCAAGGUAACCUAACAUAAAAAAGUUCUGUUGGGUAAACAUAAGAAUUUAAAGAAUUUUAGAGCUAGGCAUGGUGGUAUGCACCUGUAGUCCCAGAUCCAGGCUACUUGAGAGGCCAGGAUGGGAAGGUUGCAAGUUCAAGGCCAGGAUGGGUAGUCUAGUGAGACCCUUUCUCAAAAGAGGAUGGGGGUAUAGUUCAAUGUUCCCUGGGUUCAAUGCCUGGUAAAACACACACAAAAGAAUUUUAAACAUAUAGGAAGAAAUGGGGACCAAGUACUCAGCAGAAAAAUAAAUCUGUAUCAGUGAUCUGUGAUGGUAAUGUCAUAAUGAUGACAUCAUAGUGGCGAUGAAAUCAUAAUGAUGUUGUCCACUUGCCUUUUCAUUUCUCCCUCUCUGCUUCUGCUGUUGACCCACUGAAACUUCCCUAGGGCACAAGGGUGUGAUGAAGUCCCACGAGGUCCCACGACAAAUACGAAUGGAAAAAGUCAAGACUACUAAAUGGUGGAAAGAUAAACUGGAUACGUGAGGGACUGAUAUCAUAUACACAGGAAGUUGGGGAGCCGACUUGACCACAGAGGGGAUGCCAUGUGGGCUGAAGAACUUGCCCGCAAAGUCUCUGGGAGACAGCGCAAGGCUCAUGCUUCAGAGUGGGCGCCAAGAAAAGGAGAGAGUGCUGGAGUGUUUAUUCAUCAGCCUUUGUCAGUUAUUAGUUGAGAGCUCCUCCCAGGGGCAUUAAUUCCUUGAACUGAAU
rnacentral:lncRNA from 1 species